UUCAGGUGAGGCUACCCGCUGAACUUA
rnacentral:rRNA from 1 species